rnacentral:lncRNA from 10 species
ACAGCGUUCUAGAACACAACUACUAACUAGCUCGGCCUGGUACCACGGAUUUGUGCUACGGCACCAGGAGAGCAAAAUCAACACAGAAAAAAGCAAGAAAACUCAGAGAAAAAAUAAAACAAAUCUACAAUGAACACAUCAGUAUGUAUAUUUCUACAAACUUGUGUGAGAAGUUCUGUAAGAUCAAGUCCUAAAAGCAGAAUUGCUGGCUCAAAGGAUAUGAGUAACAUCAGCUGACUCGAAGUUAAGAAGAUUGGCCUCCACAAUCAGGGUGGGCCUCAUCCAAUCAGUAAAAGGCCCUAAGUGCAAAACUAAGGCUUCCCUGAAGAAGAAAUGUCCACCUAACAGACAGCCUCCCUGUGGAUUUCAGACUUGCCUAGCCAGCCCCAGCAAUUAUGUAAACCAGUUCCUUGCAAAAAAAAUCUCUUUAUAUGUAUAUAAACCUGUUCUAAGGGCAGAGAUUUCGGUAGCUUUGUUCACCACUCAUCACCAGUACUUAGUAGAAUGUCCAGUACACAGCAGGAGCUCAAAAUACAUUUGAUGAGAAAAAAAGGAAAUCACUAAGAAGUUAUGAAAUUUUCCUAUGUCAAGCAGUAAAACAGCCAACCAGAAUCUGAACCCAGGUCUUUCUUUAAAAUGUGUGGUGAGAGUGGCAAGCAGUAGGGGAAAAAAAUGAAAGAAAAAAUG